rnacentral:tRNA from 1 species
GGGGAGCGGAGUCCCCGGGGCCAGCCCUGCGGCCUCGCGGGCUGCGGACGCGGCGCGUUCUGCCUCGCGGCGGCCCCUGC